rnacentral:rRNA from 1 species
CCUACGGGAGGCAGCAGUGGGGAAUAUUGGACAAUGGGCGAAAGCCUGAUCCAGCCAUGCCGCGUGUGUGAAGAAGGCCUUCGGGUUGUAAAGCACUUUCAGUGGGGAAGAAAGCCUUGGGGCUAAUACCCUCGAGGAAGGACAUCACCCACAGAAGAAGCACCGGCUAACUCCGUGCCAGCAGCCGCGGUAAUACGGAGGGUGCGAGCGUUAAUCGGAAUUACUGGGCGUAAAGCGCGCGUAGGCGGUCUGAUAAGCCGGUUGUGAAAGCCCCGGGCUCAACCUGGGAACGGCAUCCGGAACUGUCAGGCUAGAGGGCAGGAGAGGAAGGUAGAAUUCCCGGUGUAGCGGUGAAAUGCGUAGAGAUCGGGAGGAAUACCAGUGGCGAAGGCGGCCUUCUGGACUGACACUGACGCUGAGGUGCGAAAGCGUGGGUAGCAAACAGGAUUAGAUACCCGUGUAGUC